CCGCAGAACUCUGUGCUAAGGUAGCAUAAUCAUUAGCUUUUUAAUUGAAAGAUAGAAUGAAAGGUUAAACGAAAUAUAAACUGUUUCUUUCACUUUUAACUUAAAUUAAAAUAAUAGUAAAAAUUCUAUUAUAACACAGAAAGACGAUAAGACCCUAUAAACUACAAUCAUUAGCUGGGGCGGCAAAAUAAAAACACCUUAUUAUUAAAAUUAUAACUCUAACAGAUAUAACCCAUUAAGAAAAAGUUACUUUAGGGAUAACAGCGCUACUUUUUUUAAAAGUUCUAAUACAAAAAUAAUACUACGACCUCGAUGUUGAAUUAUAACCCUUUAAUCAACGCAAAAGUUACAAAAGGCAGUCUGUUCGACUAUUAAAUAUAU
rnacentral:rRNA from 1 species